GAUGAACGCUGGCGGCGUGCUUAACACAUGCAAGUCGAACGAGGUAUAAGGACGGAAGUUUUCGGACGGAAGAUUUUGUACUGAGUGGCGGACGGGUGAGUAACGCGUGGGAAACCUGCCCUGUUCCGGGGGAUACCAGUUGGAAACGACUGUUAAUACCGCAUAAGCGCACAGAGCUGCAUGGCUCAGUGUGAAAAACUCCGGUGGUAUAAGAUGGACCCGCGUUGGAUUAGCUAGUUGGUGGGGUAACGGCCCACCAAGGCGACGAUCCAUAGCCGGCCUGAGAGGGUGAACGGCCACAUUGGGACUGAGACACGGCCCAA
rnacentral:rRNA from 1 species